GGAAAAUCAUCUUGUUCUUCUUGGAGUUUAUUCACAAGGUUUGUCAUAUGAUUUCCAGGAGCCUGGUGGAGAUGGACACAACCAUAAUCCAAGCAGUAAUGGAAAAAGUGUUAGUGACAGAAUGACCCAAGAACCUCCAGACCCUUCUGACCAACUACCUGUGAUCUCUCCAGAGCACAGAGAAGAUGUCGGCGGGUGGAGCCGGGAGGAUCGUCAGCGAGAUGGGUCACACCUGGGCCCGGGUGUGUCCCGGGAUAAAUACACCUCUUCCCCGUUCAUUGAGGAGCUCUCUCCAUGCAUACACGCUGUUAGAGUUUGGUUGUGGCCGGUUGCUUGCUUUGGCAUCUUUCAACACUCCUCAUUAUCACAUCUAUACAUGCAACCACUCACUUACACAACUGAUUACACACACCAUUGUUAAUUUUAUAUAGGUUACCUCAGUUAAUAAAUAUAUUUUUGUUAUUCCUUAUCUACACAUUGUCUCCCUUUUUGUUAUGGGCUUUGAGCCGGUUCGUGACAAGCGGAGGCUU
ensembl:lncRNA